CCUACGGGAGGCAGCAGUGAGGAAUAUUGGUCAAUGGACGAGAGUCUGAACCAGCCAAGUAGCGUGAAGGAUGACUGCCCUAUGGGUUGUAAACUUCUUUUAUAUGGGAAUAAAAUGUUCCACGUGUGGGAUUUUGUAUGUACCAUAUGAAUAAGGAUCGGCUAACUCCGUGCCAGCAGCCGCGGUAAUACAUAGGAUCCGAGCGUUAUCCGGAUUUAUUGGGUUUAAAGGGAGCGUAGGUGGAUUGUUAAGUCAGUUGUGAAAGUUUGCGGCUCAACCGUAAAAUUGCAGUUGAAACUGGCAGUCUUGAGUACAGUAGAGGUGGGCGGAAUUCGUGGUGUAGCGGUGAAAUGCUUAGAUAUCACGAAGAACUCCGAUUGCGAAGGCAGCUCGCUGGACUGCAACUGACACUGAGGCUCGAAAGUGUGGGUAUCAAACAGGAUUAGAUACCCUAGUAGUC
rnacentral:rRNA from 1 species